CCUACGGGACGCAGCAGUGAGGAAUAUUGGUCAAUGGACGAGAGUCUGAACCAGCCAAGUAGCGUGAAGGAUGACUGCCCUAGGGGUGGUAAACUUCUUUUAUAUGGGAAUAAAAUGUUCCACGUGUGGGAUAUUGUAUGGACCAUAUGAAUAAGGAUAGGCUAACUCCGUGCCAUCAGCCGCGGUAAUACGGAGGAUCCGAGCGUUAUCCGGAUUUAGUGGGUUUAAAGGGUGCGUAGGUGGAUUGGUAAGUCAGUUGUGAAAGUUUGCGGCUCAACCGUAAAAUUGCAGUUGAAACUGGCAGUCUUGAGUACAGUAGAGGUGGGCGGAAUUCGUGGUGUAGCGGUGAACUGCUUAGAUAUCACGAAGAACUCCGAUGGCGAAGGCAGCUCACUGGACUGCAACUGACACUGAGGCUCGAAAGUGUGGGUAUCAAACAGGAUUAGAUACCCGAGUAGUC
rnacentral:rRNA from 1 species